GACGAACGCUGGCGGCGUGCUUAACACAUGCAAGUCGAGCGGUAAGGCCCUUUCGGGGGUACACGAGCGGCGAACGGGUGAGUAACACGUGGGUGACCUGCCUUUAGCUCUGGGAUAAGCCUGGGAAACUGGGUCUAAUACCGGAUACGACUCCGCGGUGCAUGCUGUGGGGUGGAAAGCCUUGUGCGGCUGGAGAUGGGCCCGCGGCCUAUCAGCUUGUUGGUGGGGUGAUGGCCACCAAGGCGACGACGGUAGCCGGCCUGAGAGGGCGACCGGCCACACUGGGACUGAGACACGGCCCAGACUCCUACGGGAGGCAGCAGUGGGGAAUCUUGCGCAAUGGGCGAAAGCCUGACGCAGCGACGCCGCGUGAGGGAUGACGGCCUCGGUU
rnacentral:rRNA from 1 species